rnacentral:rRNA from 1 species
AGCGAACGCUGGCGGCAGGCCUAACACAUGCGAGUCGAACGAACUCUUCGGAGUUAGUGGCGGACGGGUGAGUAACACGUGGGAACGUGCCUUUAGGUUCGGAAUAACUCAGGGAAACUUGUGCUAAUACCGAAUGUGCCCUUCGGGGGAAAGAUUUAUCGCCUUUAGAGCGGCCCGCGUCUGAUUAGCUAGUUGGUGAGGUAAAGGCUCACCAAGGCGACGAUCAGUAGCUGGUCUGAGAGGAUGAUCAGCCACAUUGGGACUGAGACACGGCCCAAACUCCUACGGGAGGCAGCAGUGGGGAAUCUUGCGCAAUGGGCGAAAGCCUGACGCAGCCAUGCCGCGUGAAUGAUGAAGGUCUUAGGAUUUUAAAAUUCUUUCACCGGGGACGAUAAUGACGGUACCCGGAGAAGAAGCCCCGGCUAACUUCGUG